CAUAAAAGCUUAAUUAUUUCAUUAGCAUAAUGUUUAAAUUGAAAAGCUUAAUUAAUGUAGAGAGAUGUACAUUAAUUUACCUAUAAGAAAGAUGACCUAGUAUCAAAACUGGAUGGAGUUAUUUGUCAAGAAUUUGAAACAUGAUGAAAUGACACCCUUCUAUGAAAUUAACAAUAGAAUGUACAUGGUGAAUAGAACGAGAUCAUUUUUUUUAUUUACAUGUACUUGUUAUAGCCUAAAUGUAGAUGUGACCAGACAUUAUUUUUAUAUCAAUAUUAACAUCCUAAGAUAGUCACUCUGAAGGUUUAGUGUCCAGAAUUUAGUUUGAAUGAAGAGUUUAAUGAUAAGAUUUAGAAGUACAUAUGUGGGACUGUUGAGCGUUAUAGUAACUGUUCACUGUUGAUUUUUUUUUUUGAUAUUCAUACGAGAAAAAAAAUGAGUGUGCGAGAGAUCUGUUGGAUUUGGACUCAUAUUUACAGACAUUAGAAGUACAUGUAAUAGUAAAUUAAUGACCAUGAAAUAUCUGUAUGUAAACUGUGUUUGUUUGUAAAACAACAACCACAUGUAUUGUAUCUAUCUCUGUGUAUUCCUUGCUUUUUGUUAAAUAGCUUUGUAUACAUUCCUUAACAUAGUUUAUUUAAAAACAAUUGUUUAUGGGUUUUAUUACAAUAGGAAAUAAAAAUUGAUUACCUG
rnacentral:sRNA from 1 species